rnacentral:rRNA from 1 species
GACGAACGCUGGCGGCGUGCCUAAUACAUGCAAGUUGAGCGCUGAAGGUUGGUACUUGUACCAACUGGAUGAGCAGCGAACGGGUGAGUGACGCGUGGGGAAUCUGCCUUUGAGCGGGGGACAACAUUUGGAAACGAAUGCUAAUACCGCAUAAAAACUUUAAACACAAGUUUUAAGUUUGAAAGAUGCAAUUGCAUCACUCAAAGAUGAUCCCGCGUUGUAUUAGCUAGUUGGUGAGGUAAAGGCUCACCAAGGCGAUGAUACAUAGCCGACCUGAGAGGGUGAUCGGCCACAUUGGGACUGAGACACGGCCCAAACUCCUAAGGGAGGCAGCAGUAGGGAAUCUUCGGCAAUGGACGAAAGUCUGAACGAGCAACGCCGCGUGAGUGAAGAAGGGUUUCGGAUCGUAAAACUCUGUUGGUAGAGAAGAACGUUGGUGAGAGUGGAAAGCUCAUCAAGUGACGGUAACUACACAGAAAGGGACGGCUAACUACGUG